GACGGAGGGAGCUAGCGUUGUUCGGAAUUACUGGGCGUAAAGCGCACGUAGGCGGCUUUGUAAGUUAGAGGUGAAAGCCCGGGGCUCAACUCCGGAACUGCCUUUAAGACUGCAUCGCUUGAAUCCAGGAGAGGUGAGUGGAAUUCCGAGUGUAGAGGUGAAAUUCGUAGAUAUUCGCAAGAACACCAGUGGCGAAGGCGGCUCACUGGCUCGAUACUGACGCUGAGGUGCGAAAGCGUGGGGAGCAAACAGG
rnacentral:rRNA from 1 species